GGAAGGCCACUGGGACUGUGCUGUCCUCUGCAGGCAGCUGUGGCCCAGGCAGAACCUCAUUGGCACUCAGGCAUUUUCUGGAAGCCAAGAAGAUAGAGGGAACAUCGCUGAGUCCAGGGAAUAGCAAAGCACUUUAUACAGAAGACUUAAUUGGUUUCUCUCUUUCUCUCUCUUAAAAAAAAAAAAAAAAAAAAGGUGUGAUUCACUUUUUCCUUCCCAGGAAAGGAAAUAGGGAAGGUCAGCAAAAGGAGAAAAGGAAAGGUUGGUAUUGGUGAAGUAACGGCAUUUUGGUUCUAAUGUGUGCACUUCAUUUGAGUGGAAACAGCGAACAGGUCUGUGCUGGGUGGGGGGCAGUCAGCCACCUUCCUGGAGGGGAGGAGCAGAGACCGCAGCCUGUGCUUCCGCAUCCAGGCCUCGCUGGCCUGCACUGCGUCCUGACCCUGGCUGUGCACUCUGGUGAGGGUGGUUUUGCACAGGCAGUGCUGAAGAGGAGGACAAAGGGUCUACAGAGGGGGCUGAGUUGUUCUGUUUGCUGAUUGACCUCUCCUCAAUCUUCACUCUAGGACCAACUGGUAUCUUGAGGGACCCUGAGCUGGGAGCCAGUCUCCACGCCCCUGCCUGGCUCUGCCCUGUGAACGCCAGAAAGGCAACGGUGUCCCGGAGAGAGCCUGUUGUAAGGGCCUCACACACACAGCACAUCUGAAUUCAGAGGGUACGACAGCAUCAGCCAUGUCAUCUCUGAUUAGGAAGGACAAGGCUGUGUGCACAUUAUCUGGCCUGGCGAGAGAGAGAACACCUUUUGGAUAUUUUUGCCUUUGAAAGUCAAUUCACAAGUUGGAGCCCAAUGCGGGGCCUGAACCCACGACCCUGAGAUCAAGACCUGAGCUGAGAUCAAGAGUUGGAUGCUCAACUGACUGAGUCAACCAGGUGCCUCUUAAUUUUCAUUUUAACUUCCAUUUAUUUCAAAAGGAAUCUAUAUUUCUCAUUUGACCAUAAAAG